rnacentral:rRNA from 1 species
UAGGGAAUCUUCCGCAAUGGGCGAAAGCCUGACGGAGCAACGCCGCGUGAGUGAAGAAGGAUUUCGGUUCGUAAAGCUCUGUUGUUAGGGAAGAAUGAUUGUAUAGUAACUAUAUACAGUAGAGACGGUACCUAACCAGAAAGCCACGGCUAACUACGUGCCAGCAGCCGCGGUAAUACGUAGGUGGCAAGCGUUGUCCGGAAUUAUUGGGCGUAAAGCGCGCGCAGGUGGUUUAAUAAGUCUGAUGUGAAAGCCCACGGCUCAACCGUGGAGGGUCAUUGGAAACUGUUAAACUUGAGUGCAGGAGAGAAAAGUGGAAUUCCUAGUGUAGCGGUGAAAUGCGUAGAGAUUAGGAGGAACACCAGUGGCGAAGGCGGCUUUUUGGCCUGUAACUGACACUGAGGCGCGAAAGCGUGGGGAGCAAACAGGAUUAGAUACCCUGGUAGUCCACGCCGUAAACGAUGAGUGCUAAGUGUUGGUCUCAUAAGAGAUCAGUGCUGCAGCUAACGCAUUAAGCACUCCGCCUGGGGAGUACGACCGCAAGGUU